rnacentral:lncRNA from 1 species
AUGGAGAGGAGGAUGAUAGGGAUGGAAGUUGUCCGGUGGCGUGGAGUGCGGCGGCGACGGCGGAUGGGGAAGAUCUCGGCUCCGUGGGGGGUUGGGGAAGACCUCGCCUCCGGUUCAGUGCGCGGUGGCGGCGGCAGCAGAAGGGGACGACCUCGUGGGCAGCGGUGGACUGCGGUGACGACGGCGGAUGGGGAAGACCUUGUCUCCGGCGGCGGCGGAUGGGGACGACGUCGGCUCCGGCCGCAGCGGAUGGGGAAGCUCCGGCGGUGGCUGGGGAAGACCUCGCCUCCGGUUCAGUGCGCGGAAGCGGCGGCGGUAGAGUGCGCAGUGGCGGCGGAAGGGGACGACGAUGCGAGGAGCGAGCCGCGCAUUGAGAGGGUGAUGAGGCGUAAUCUUCGCCCGGCCUUCGCGCCUGGAGAGGGGGAAUCGUGCGGUGGAGAAGGCUGGACGGUACAGAUUACAUCUGAUUUACGAAUGGACGGUAGGGAUGUAAACAAUUGAUUUGGCACGU